rnacentral:rRNA from 1 species
UCCAGACUCCUACGGGAGGCAGCAGUGGGGGAUAUUGCACAAUGGGGGGAACCCUGAUGCAGCGACGCCGCGUGGGUGAAGAAGCGCCUCGGCGCGUAAAGCCCUGUCAGCAGGGAAGAAAAUGACGGUACCUGAAGAAGAAGCCCCGGCUAACUACGUGCCAGCAGCCGCGGUAAUACGGAGGGUGCAAGCGUUACUCGGAAUCACUGGGCGUAAAGAGCGCGUAGGCGGGAUAGCAAGUCAGAUGUGAAAUCCUAUGGCUUAACCAUAGAACUGCAUUUGAAACUGUUAUUCUAGAGUAUGGGAGAGGUAGGUGGAAUUCUUGGUGUAGGGGUAAAAUGCGUAGAUAUAAGGAAGAACACCAGUGGCGAAGGCGGAUGACUGGACGGCAACUGACGGUGAGGCGCGAAAGCGUGGGGAGCAAACAGGAUUAGAUACCCCCGUAG